rnacentral:lncRNA from 1 species
ACCUACCAUGCAUGAGGCACUGGGUUCGAUUCCUCAGCACCAAAUAAAUGUAAAAUAAAGAUACUGUGUCCACCUAAAACUAAGUUUAUAUAUAUAUAUAUUUAUAUAUAUCAAUAUGGAGGUUCCUCAAAAGACUAGGAAUGGAACCACAAUGUGACCCAGGUAUACUACUUCUCAGUGUUUAUCCUAAAGAACUAAAGUCAUCAUACUAUGGUGAUACAUGCACACCCAUAUUUAUAGCAGCACAAUUCACAAUAUGCAAACUAUGGAAUCAGCCUAGGCAUCCACCACUGGAUGAAUGGAUAAAGAAAAUGUGAUAUAUACACAAUGGAGUUUUAUUCAGCCAUGAAGAAAAAUAAAAUCAUCUCAUCUGCAGGAAAAUGCCUGGAACUUGAGACCCUCAUGUUAAGUGAAAUAAGCAGAACUCAAAAGGGAAGGGUCAUGUUUUCUCUCCUAUGUGGAAGCUUGAGAGGAAAAGGAAAAGUAAGGUAAGGGGUAUCUCAUGAAAAUCAAAGGGAGAUCAGUAAAGUAGAAGAAAAGGACCAGGAGGAUGGAAAGGGGAAAGGCUGGGGAGGGAUGAUGGCCAUAUUACAUUAUUAUUUUGUGAACUGUAACAAUGUGAAUAUGUAACAAUGAAUCCCAACAUUAUAUACAACUAUAAUGCACUGAUAAAAAAAAAAUGGAAAACAAAUCACAGACUUGGGAAGCAUUUGCAAAUGACAUGCAGAAUUUGAUUGUUAAAAAUAUUCAUACCCAGAAUAUUCAUGUACAUUCGUAUAUAAAUAACCUUCAUGUCACAAAAGACUGCAGAUUAUAAAUUUCCAUUUAUAUGAAAUGUCUGUAACAGUCUAAUCCACAUACAGACAAAAGGCAAAUAUAGUUGCAUAGGGCUAGGGCCAGAAGGGGAGUCAUGGGGCACUGGGAGGUCAUAGCUGAAGGGGAUGAGGUUUCUUCUCAAGUGGAUGAAAUGUUUUAAAAUGAGUUGUGGCAGUGAUUGCAUGACUCCAUGAAUAUACUAAAAACCAUUCAACUGUACAUUUUAAAUGAGUAAAUUUAUGGUAUGCUAAUUAUAUCUCAAUAAAACUGUUACCGAAAAAGAACCCUCAAAAUUCAACUAGAAAAACAAAGACAGAAUUUCAAGUAGACCCAUCACCAGAGAAGACACACAGAUGGUUAAUAAGCACAUGAAAAGAUGUUCAACAUAAUUAGUUUUUAGGAAAGACAAAUUAAAAACUACAAUAAAAGCAUACUACAUACCUAUUAGAAUGGCCUUUAAAAAAACAGUGACGGGCUAGGCACGGUGGCACCCAGC